GAGUGGGAAGAAAUUUAGGUGAACUUGUGAAGAGUCAGGAAUUAAUGGGAAGCACUGGGUUUUGGAGAAGAGUUCUUGGAGUCGACUCCGGAGGAUGUGAAAUUGUGAAAUGAUGCAGUGUAGGUUUAGGCUUUAUCUUAUUGAGCUUGAUUCGACCUGCAUACAUUAGGCUCAAUCAGUAAAUAAAUAAGUAAAACUCGAAUUACCUUUAAUAAUUUAUUCAAAUGCAAUGAUGAAGGUAACACAUUUUCUUGGUUAAAUUUAUAAAAUAUGUGAAUUAAAAUAAUGAUAAGUGCUAUGAAUAAGAUAUUAAUUUAUGCAUUAUUUAGCAC
rnacentral:lncRNA from 1 species